CAUGCCCGUUCUUAGUUGGUGGAGUGAUUUGUCUACUUGAUUGCGAUAACAAACGAGACCUUAACCUGCUAAAUAGUCAGUAUUGCUAUGGCAGUACGCGGGCUUCUUAGAGGGACUAUCGCCUCAAGCUGGUGGAAGUUUGAGGCAAUAACAGGUUGA
rfam:Metarhizium robertsii ARSEF 23 MAA_Scf_1, whole genome shotgun sequence.